rnacentral:rRNA from 1 species
UACGGAGGGUGCAAGCGUUAUCCGGAUUCACUGGGUUUAAAGGGUGCGUAGGCGGGCAUUUAAGUCAGUGGUGAAAUACCUGAGCUUAACUUGGGAACUGCCAUUGAUACUAUUUGUCUUGAAUGUCGUGGAGGUUAGCGGAAUAUGUCAUGUAGCGGUGAAAUGCUUAGAUAUGACAUAGAACACCCAUUGCGAAGGCAGCUUACUACGGGAUCAUUGACACUGAGGCACGAAAGCGUGGGGAUCAAACAGG